CUUUGUUUCUGUGACGGGAGAAGAGGGGGACAAAGUGCCUGUUACUAUUCUUCGGGACACAGCCGUUUUCAGGAGGCCUCGCUUACGUUGAACCUAGCCAAAUGUGAAUUUGGCAGAGCCACCAUCACAUAUCUGGGAAAACAGAUGCAGAACUCAAAUCAGAGACUUAUGCGUUGGUCCCUUCUUUUGCAAGACUUCAACCUGCAGAUCAAGCAUAAGAAAGGGACGGAAAAUGUCAUCGCGGACGCCCUGUCGAGAGCAAUUUUGUAGUUUAGGAAUUAAACAAUAGGAGGAUUGUUUAAAUCUUAUGGAAGGGGGUGUUACGAACUUGUAUGUCCGUGUGUUUGUUUGUGCAAGUGCUGUGUUUUUGUCUAUGUUAAUUUAGCUGUGCCAGGUCCCUGUUCCGAUUGGUGCGUGGACUUACUGCCCCGGUGUGAUUGGAUCCAGCUGGAGGACCCGCCCAUUAAAAGGAGGCUGGAGUGCUACAGCGGGAGAGGCCCUCGCGUUUCUCCUCAUCACCCAGCAGUAGUCCUGU
ensembl:lncRNA